CUAAAUAGUGCCAAGUCAAGACACAAAUGAGAAUUUGACUACCAAAAGCCACUUUCAGGCCCAUUCACAAUCUGCUGCCUCCACCUCCUUCUACAGAAUCCUGCCCCCCAUAUCUACAGAACCCGUGGCCCCCCUUCUACAAAAAAACCCUGACUCCCCUUCUACAAAAAACCCUGCCGCCCCACUACACUACACUACAUGUGUUGUGUUUAUGGUUUUAUUUUAAAGAUAUUAAAUAAUGUCAAGAUUUUAUUUCUACAAUCCUGAAGAUUGCUUCUUGAACCACAGAUUUUUGGGUUGUUGACGAUAUCGAUCUCUUUCUCAAGUGUAAGGAUAUUUACCUCAACUGUGCUUUAUGUUUUCACUUGUUUAAAUCAUAUAGAUCAGGGAUGGCCAAAAAGUAGAUCCCCAGAUGUUGAACUACAGCUUCCAUGACGCUUUGCCAUUCUAAAGGCAUACCUUUUAGGCACACCUGAUCAAGAUCAUCCCAUAUUUUAGGACGUUACACUGUGUUUCCACACUUUGCUGUUUUAAUUAGAUUUCUUUUGAAGCCUGUUUUUUGAAUGAGUUGUCACUAGUUGGCAACUCGUUUCCAGAUUUUAAAAUGGAAGGGCAGAGUGGCAGGGAGAUUCGGUGCUGGAACUGUUUGAGAACACUAAGCAUCCUGGCACCAUAACAACUUCAUUUUUAUUAAAUUGUUAUGGUGCCCAGAGUGUUCCUUUUAAAAGAGCCAGAAAAAUGUCACAAAUGUAAUUUUAGAAAAGUAAAGGUUUUUUUUUUAAGGCUGCUUAUAAAACUGUUGUACUUCAAAGAGAGAUAACAUUUUUGACAGUUAGGUAAUGGGUUAGUCACAUAUUCCCAUACUAUCACAAAUUUAAUUGACUUCAGAGAAUAUGGCCUGCCGGUUUUUAUUUCUAUAGCAAGUGGCUGCUUCAAUACACUGGGGUUUAUUAACUUAACAGUGAAUUGGUGUACGUUUGAAAUCAAAUUGCUAAAC